CCAGAAGAUGCAGGUCCAAGAAUUAUUGGUGAAGGACUUGUGAUAGAUGAAUGGAAAGAGCGAAGGGAAAGAUAUCUUGCUCGACAGCAGGUUGAAGGAGUAGACUCUGUAUAGAGUGACAAUAGUCUUCAAGGUGCCCCCUAUAUGAAGAAGAAAUUUUAUAUAAUUCCACCACUCAGUUUAUUCAUCCAAUAUUUUCUUGUAACUUGAAGGAUGUUUUAUUCAGAGA
rnacentral:misc_RNA from 1 species